AUUGAACGCUGGCGGCAGGCCUAACACAUGCAAGUCGAACGGUAACAGGAAGCAGCUUGCUGCUUCGCUGACGAGUGGCGGACGGGUGAGUAAUGUCUGGGAAACUGCCUGCUGGAGGGGGAUAACUACUGGAAACGGUAGCUAAUACCGCAUAACGUCGCAAGACCAAAGAGGGGGACCUUCGGGCCUCUUGCCAUCGGAUGUGCGCAGAUGGGAUUAGCUAGUAGGUGGGGUAAUGGCUAACCUAGGCGACGAUCCCUAGCUGGUCUGAGAGGAUGACCAGCCACACUGGAACUGAGACACGGUCCAGACUCCUACGGGAGGCAGCAGUGGGGAAUAUUGCACAAUGGGCGCAAGCCUGAUGCAGCCAUGCCGCGUGUAUGAAGAAGGCCUUCGGGUUGUAAAGUACUUUCAGCGGGGAGGAAGGCGGUGCGGUUAAUAACCGCGCCGAUUGACGUUACCCGCAGAAGAAGCACCGGCUAACUCCGUGCCAGCAGCCGCCGUAA
rnacentral:rRNA from 1 species